AGCAGCCGCCGCGGUAAUACGAAGGGGGCUAGCGUUGUUCGGAUUUACUGGGCGUAAAGGGCGCGUAGGCGGGCUGAUCAGUCAGGGGUGAAAUCCCAAGGCUCAACCUUGGAACUGCCUUUGAUACUGUCGGUCUUGAGUUCGAGAGAGGUAAGUGGAACUGCGAGUGUAGAGGUGAAAUUCGUAGAUAUUCGCAAGAACACCAGUGGCGAAGGCGGCUUACUGGCUCGAAACUGACGCUGAGGCGCGAAAGCGUGGGGAGCAAACAGGAUUAGAUACCCCGGUAGUCCCUGUCUCUUAUAC
rnacentral:rRNA from 1 species